rnacentral:lncRNA from 1 species
GUGGUGAUAUGACAGUGUGUUAUCAGAGGCCUGAGACCAGAUGGGGGGUGAAAUAGGUGGUGACAUGACAGUGUGUUAUCAGAGGACUGAGACCAGAUGGGGGGGUGUAAUAGGUGGUGACAUGACAGUGUGUUAUCAGAGGACUGAGACCAGAUGGGGGGGUGUAAUAGGUGGUGACAUGACAGUGUGUUAUCAGAGGACUGAGACCAGAUGGGGGGUGUAAUAGGUGGUGACAUGAGGGUGGGUAUAAUUUGUGUGUUAUAAGUUUUUCAUUCAGAAUGAGAUACCGGGUAGAGAGUGAACAAUGUAAUAACGUUUUUCAACCACCACGUUUAUUCUGAAAAAUGUCUCUCUUCGUUCUGGUAGCCUCCACCAUUCCUCGUUCGUUGGUUUAGUUAUUAUUUCCGGGGUUCCUGCAUUCGCCAGGUGAACUCUGUUGCGCCUCAAUUAGGGAAUCGCUAUGGUUGAAAUGUAACUAAUCACUGCCA